UACGGAGGGUGCGAGCGUUGUCCGGAAUCAUUGGGCGUAAAGGGCGCGUAGGUGGCCUGCUAAGCGUGCGGUGAAAGCUCGGGGCUCAACCCCGAGUCGGCCGUGCGAACUGGUGGGCUUGAGCACUGUAGAGGCAGGCGGAAUUCCGGGUGUAGCGGUGGAAUGCGUAGAGAUCCGGAAGAACACCGGUGGCGAAGGCGGCCUGCUGGGCAGUAGCUGACACUGAUGCGCGACAGCAUGGGGAGCAAACAGG
rnacentral:rRNA from 1 species